CUCCGCAGCCCGGGUCAACCAGCCGACGGUGGCGGAACGGCGGGCAGGUCGGCGGAGUUAGAUGGCCGCAAAGUCUUCCUCUGUUGCCCAGGCUGGAGUGCAGUGGUGAGAUCUCGGGGAAAAACGUGGCCGGCCGGAGUCCUCCCACAGACGACAGUGCCUUCCCGGCAGCAUCUCCGCCGGGCCCAAGAGGGUCGUGGAGUCGCUGGCUUCCUCCCAGGAACCCAGAGUUGAUCUCUACACCACGCCAUCACUGCCAGGGGUGAGGAAAUUCUGGCACCAGUGAUUCAGCACUGUUUUUUUCUCUCUCUUCAGUGCCUCUUUCAGUGAUAUGAAGUUAAAACCAGAUACCCAGCCGUGGGAUUGCUAGAUCAGACAGAGCCAAUUGAUGAUCAGCAGGGCCUGAAAAUGCCAAAACCCUGAAACAACUGACCUUCGAAAACUUCAACAUCCCUGAACGAAACGUCCAAACACAUUUAUCCACCAAUCAAAGACCCUUUA
rnacentral:lncRNA from 1 species